UUUUCGUGGUGAGGAUAUUUGUGUAAUAAAUCUUUGAAUUUUUCCCAUGCCUCGUACAAGGAUUUGUCAUCCAUUUGCUGAAAAGUUGUGAUCUCAUUCCUCUAGUU
rfam:Gossypium hirsutum cultivar TM-1 unplaced genomic scaffold scaffold908.1, whole genome shotgun sequence